UUGUAGGAGUAGGGUGCACAUCAAGAUGGGAUCUAUCAACCUUGAUAGAGAGAAGUAGUCCUAUGGGAUUGAAAGGCUAAGUUUAAAAAUCUAUGGCUAUAGUAGUGUGAUUAGUGGAAAAGAGUUUCUAUAGAAAUCAUAAUUGGACUUGAGCUAAUCGAAUCUAUCAUAUGACUGAUGUUAAGAUUUGACAAUUUAUCCAUGACCGGCCAUCUAGUCGGGACUCACGAUAGAGAGACUGAAUCACACAUUAACUACACCUAGAGGUUCAUUUUAGUUCUACUGGGUUGCCAC
rnacentral:lncRNA from 1 species